AUUGAACGCUGGCGGCAUGCUUUACACAUGCAAGUCGAACGGUAACAGGGUGCUUGCACCGCUGACGAGUGGCGAACGGGUGAGUAAUGCGUCGGAACGUGCCGAGUAGUGGGGGAUAACGCAGCGAAAGCUGUGCUAAUACCGCAUACGAACUGAGGUUGAAAGUGGGGGACCUUCGGGCCUCACGCUAUUCGAUCGGCCGACGUCUGAUUAGCUAGUUGGUAGGGUAAAGGCCUACCAAGGCGACGAUCAGUAGCGGGUCUGAGAGGAUGAUCCGCCACACUGGGACUGAGACACGGCCCAGACUCCUACGGGAGGCAGCAGUGGGGAAUUUUGGACAAUGGGGGAAACCCUGAUCCAGUCAUGCCGCGUGUCUGAAGAAGGCCUUCGGGUUGUAAAGGACUUUUGUCCGGGAGCAAAUACCCAGUGCUAAUAACGCUGGGGGCUGAGAGUACCGGAAGAAUAAGCACCGGCUAACUACGUGCCAGCCGCCGCUGUAAUAC
rnacentral:rRNA from 1 species